ensembl:lncRNA
GAAUAGGCAACACCUCUUUGAUGGAAGAGACCUGGGUUCAGAUCCUGAAUCCUCUGCUUACUAGCCAUGAAGACUUGGCCAGGCAAUUGCACUUGUCUGAAGUUCUGCUCACUGUUCUACAUGAUCUGGGACUAUUGUGAGAAUUCAGAGAUAAUGUACAUAAGGGGCCCAGCUCUGGAUGGGCACAGAGUAGGUGAGAAGCAGGCUUUGGCUGGACACAGCUGCCUGGACUUCACAUCCCAGUAACAGCACAGAGCCAGCACUGGACACUGGUUGGCUUAAAGCAUGGCUCUUCAACCUCAAUUGACAUUUUUGGACUGGAUAAUUCUUUGAUUGAGAGACCUAACCAGCCUUGUAGGAUGAGGCUGAAAGGUCCAAGAUCAACAUUCUAGCAGAUUUGAUUUCUGGUGAGGACCCUCUUCCUGGAUUGUCGACAGCCACCUUUCCACUAUGUCUUCAUGCUGAGGAAGGAGGGGGGAGCUGGAGGUCUCCAGUGAAUUUUAGAUGGGAGUAUGGUUGAUUAAUGAUGUUGCAUUCGUUUCAGGUGUAAA